rnacentral:rRNA from 1 species
UACGGAGGGGGCUAGCGUUGUUCGGAAUUACUGGGCGUAAAGCGCACGUAGGCGGCUUUGUAAGUUAGAGGUGAAAGCCCGGGGCUCAACCCCGGAAUUGCCUUUAAGACUGCAUCGCUAGAAUUGUGGAGAGGUAAGUGGAAUUCCGAGUGUAGAGGUGAAAUUCGUAGAUAUUCGGAAGAACACCAGUGGCGAAGGCGACUUACUGGACACAUAGUGACGCUGAGGUGCGAAAGCGUGGGGAGCAAACAGG